AUUGAACGCUGGCGGCAGGCCUAACACAUGCAAGUCGAACGGUAACAGGAAACAGCUUGCUGUUUCGCUGACAAGUGGCGGACGGGUGAGUAAUGUCUGGGAAACUGCCUGAUGGAGGGGGAUAACUACUGGAAACGGUAGCUAAUACCGCAUAACGUCGCAAGACCAAAGAGGGGGACCCUCGGGCCUCUUGCCAUCGGAUGUGCCCAGAUGGGAUUAGCUUGUUGGUGGGGUAACGGCUCACCAAGGCGACGAUCCCUAGCUGGUCUGAGAGGAUGACCAGCCACACUGGAACUGAGACACGGUCCAGACUCCUACGGGAGGCAGCAGUGGGGAAUAUUGCACAAUGGGCGCAAGCCUGAUGCAGCCAUGCCGCGUGUAUGAAGAAGGCCUUCGGGUUGUAAAGUACUUUCAGCGGGGAGGAAGGGAGUAAAGUUAAUACCUUUGCUCAUUGACGUUACCCGCAGAAGAAGCACCGGCUAACUCCGUG
rnacentral:rRNA from 1 species